GUGCUUUCUUUGGCAGCAUAUAUACUAAAACUGGAAUGAUACAGAGAUUAUUAGCAUGGCCCCUGCAUAAGGAUGACACACAAAAUCAUGAAGCAUGUCAUAUUUUU
rnacentral:snRNA from 1 species